AUGAGCAAGGCCCUGAGCCCAAGGUACCAGGGUUUAUCAAUGUACGAAAAAGAAUACCUGGCCAUCAUUGUAGCAGUGGCGGCCUUAUCUGCAACAUUCAGAAUUCGUCAUCUAUACGGAUCAAAAAAGCCUCACCCACCUGGAAGAGCAAAGGUUGAAUACCCCGUGGCAGCAGAAAGUGUUUACGAAGCUCCUGGGACUCAGAUACUGCAUCAAGUAUAA
rnacentral:rRNA from 1 species